GGCUGAGUUUGGCUGAGUUGGUUAGAGCUUGGUGCUGAAAACACCAGGUUCCUUGGUUCAAUCCCCGGAUAGGCCC